ensembl:lincRNA
AAUCAAAGAAGUGGCUUCCAUCACUUUUGUCAUCAUCUAUCGGUUAGAAGCAAGUCACAGGUCUUGCCCACACUCAGUGAGAGGGAUUACAUGAAUGUGUGACCACCAGGAGAUGGUAACAAUUGGGGUCAUGAGGGGAUAUGACUGCUACAAUCUCCCAUCAUCAAAAACAAAAACAGGAAUCUAUCAAAGCAAGAGCACCAGUGAAGAAUCUAUUUGGCUGAUAUGGACCCUGUUCUUGCUGGUUAAUGAUGAGCAUCACUGUUCAGCUAGAACACUUGCAUGAUCAUUACAUGGAUGACUCCCUGUGGAAAUGGGAAAGGAAUAAGGAAUACAUAUUUGGAAUGAAGAACAGUUUACAAACACUUGUUUGUUGGUACUAAUUUACAGAGAAUAGUGCAAGAGUUAGCUUUAUUUUUUCUUUAUUAAUAUUAUGUAUGUAUAACUUUAUAUAUGUUAUAUGUGUAUCUUACAUAUACAUUUCUAGAGACCUUAGGAAUAGAAAUCUGAAGAGCUGAGUUGCAAACCCCUUAUUUUCAAGGGUCGAACACUUCAGGUAGUUGGUGAAUAAUUUAUUACAAAGAAUCUCUACUUAGAAUUGUAACGUGUGUGUAUAUAUAUUAUAUGUAAUUAUACAUAUGUAAUAUAUACAUACAAAAAGACAGAGAGACAGAGAGAGACAGAGAAUUUACGCACCAACCAACACAAAUACAUAUGGAAUAAUAGAACAUAUGUUAAUAUCCCUAAAAUUCAGUAUGUAUGAGGCCAGAAGAGAGCGUUCAUAAAAUAUAAAGGAUCAACAUUAUGUAUAUGAUGUUUUCUCACUGCAGUGAAUUAAAAUUAGAUACCAUUAGCAAAAGAAUGGAUUAUAACAAAAUAAUGGAUUCUACAUUGAGAUCUUUGUCGUCAACCAUUCUCUCAUUACUUCUGUCUCAACAAGUGAAGCUCUAGGUACAGAAUGUUCUACAAGUUAGCGUUUCCAAAAUUUCAGGAAACACACAAUCUGUGUCUUACAUAAGUUGUUUCAGAACACAUAAAAGGACUAAAAACUGCCUAACUCCUUUUAUGAGACUACUGUGAUAUUUUUAAAGUUAAGCAUCACAG